rnacentral:pre_miRNA from 1 species
AGCUCUCUGAAUCCGUUCUGAGAUUUCGUCAGACACCAACCCACCGAGGCUGAUGAAUCUCAUAUGAUAAGUCCAAUGGCU